rnacentral:rRNA from 1 species
UACGUAGGGGGCAAGCGUUGUCCGGAAUCAUUGGGCGUAAAGAGCGCGUAGGCGGUCCGGUAAGUCCGCUCUGAAAGUCCGGGGCUCAACCCCGGGAGGCGGGCGGAUACUGUCGGGCUAGAGUCCGGAAGAGGCGAGUGGAAUUCCUGGUGUAGCGGUGAAAUGCGCAGAUAUCAGGAGGAACACCAGUGGCGAAGGCGGUGCUCUGGGCCGGAACUGACGCUGAGGAGCGAAAGCGUGGGGAGCAAACAGG